UUGACGGGGCCGCACAAGCGGUGGAGCAUGUGGUUUAAUCGAAGCAACGCGAAGAACCUUACCAGGUCUUGACAUCCCGAUGCUAUUUCUAGAGAUAGAAAGUUACUUCGGUACAUCGGUGACAGGUGGUGCAUGGUUGUCGUCAGCUCGUGUCGUGAGAUGUUGGGUUAAGUCCCGCAACGAGCGCAACCCCUAUUGUUAGUUGCCAUCAUUCAGUUGGGCACUCUAGCGAGACUGCCGGUAAUAAACCGGAGGAAGGUGGGAUGACGUCAAAUCAUCAUGCCCCUUAUGACCUGGGCUACACACGUGCUACAAUGGUUGGUACAACGAGUUGCGAGUCGGUGACGGCGAGCUAAUCUCUUAAAGCCAAUCUCAGUUCGGAUUGUAGGCUGCAACUCGCCUACAUGAAGUCGGAAUCGCUAGUAAUCGCGGAUCAGCACGCCGCGGUGAAUACGUUCCCGGGCCUU
rnacentral:rRNA from 1 species